rnacentral:rRNA from 1 species
GAUGAACGCUGGCGGCGUACCUAAUACAUGCAAGUCGAGCGAACGGACGAGAAGCUUGCUUCUCUGAUGUUAGCGGCGGACGGGUGAGUAACACGUGGAUAACCUACCUAUAAGACUGGGAUAACUUCGGGAAACCGGAGCUAAUACCGGAUGAUAUUUUGAACCGCAUGGUUCAAAAGUGAAAGACGGUCUUGCUGUCACUUAUAGAUGGAUCCGCGCUGCAUUAGCUAGUUGGUAAGGUAACGGCUUACCAAGGCAACGAUGCAUAGCCGACCUGAGAGGGUGAUCGGCCACACUGGAACUGAGACACGGUCCAGACUCCUACGGGAGGCAGCAGUAGGGAAUCUUCCGCAAUGGGCGAGAGCCUGACGGAGCAACGCCGCGUGAGUGAUGAAGGUCUUCGGAUCGUAAAACUCUGUUAUUAGGGAAGAACAUAUGUGUAAGUAACUGUGCACAUCUUGACGGUACCUAAUCAGAAAGCCACGGCUAACUACGUG